rnacentral:rRNA from 1 species
AUUGAACGCUGGCGGCAGGCCUAACACAUGCAAGUCGAACGGUAACAGGAAGAAGCUUGCUUCUUUGCUGACGAGUGGCGGACGGGUGAGUAAUGUCUGGGAAACUGCCUGAUGGAGGGGGAAACUACUGGAAACGGUAGCUAAUACCGCAUAACGUCGCAAGACCAAAGAGGGGGACCUUCGGGCCUCUUGCCAUCGGAUGUGCCCAGAUGGGAUUAGCUAGUAGGUGGGGUAACGGCUCGCCUAGGCGACGAUCCCUAGCUGGUCUGAGAGGAUGACCAGCCACACUGGAACUGAGACACGGUCCAGACUCCUACGGGAGGCAGCAGUGGGGAAUAUUGCACAAUGGGCGCAAGCCUGAUGCAGCCAUGCCGCGUGUAUGAAGAAGGCCUUCGGGUUGUAAAGUACUUUCAGCGGGGAGGAAGGGAGUAAAGUUAAUACCUUUGCUCAUUGACGUUACCCGCAGAAGAAGCACCGGCUAACUCCGUG